GCAUUAUCAACAUGUUUGUACUACGGCAAGUCCUUAAGCCGUAUCGAGUUUCGUUUUUGUUUUCCUAAAAGAGACUUACAAAAUAUUCAUGAUACUAGAAAGUCAAUCGCCAGAAUAAGCAUUUCAGCGGGCCUCAUACUGAACAAUGCGACGGGUGCGCUUCUUGUAGAGAAUACGAUAACCACACUCUCGGCACUGUAU
rnacentral:misc_RNA from 1 species